GGAUAUCAAAGUGUAUAGAACAGGAAUCUCUUAAUUUAAGUUCUAUAAACUUGGUCUGGCCCCUUGGCUUAGUGGAUGAGUGAACUGGUUCCCACACAGAUGUCUGCAGUUCUAAUCCUGGCUCCAACAGCUUCAAAAACACACCAGGCAGGGUUCCCUGUCCUGGCACUGGAAAGGUUUCCAACCUCAUUUAAGUGACUGUUGACGCGACUCUGGCUCUGACAGGAUGUGGCAUGCAGCGUGAUGGCAGACUUUCCACAUGUCAUGGACUGUCGCAUCUCCAGGAAUCCACCACGAAUUAGAGAAUAUUUCUCAAUGUCGGUAUUUUUUACUUUUGAGAAAGACUGAAUAGUGGAGACACAUUAAUACCUCUGAAAAUCCCCAAAACUCAUAAUGACUGUGAAGUAGUUUCAAUAAGAAAAUAAAAGUCAAACUUUAAAAUAAA